rnacentral:rRNA from 1 species
UACGUAGGGUGCGAGCGUUGUCCGGAAUUAUUGGGCGUAAAGAGCUCGUAGGCGGCUUGUCGCGUCGGAUGUGAAAGCCCGGGGCUUAACUCCGGGUCUGCAUUCGAUACGGGCAGGCUAGAGUUCGGUAGGGGAGAUCGGAAUUCCUGGUGUAGCGGUGAAAUGCGCAGAUAUCAGGAGGAACACCGGUGGCGAAUGCGGUUCUCUGGGCAUGUCCUGACGCUGAGGAGCGAAAGUGUGGGGAGCGAACAGG